rnacentral:rRNA from 1 species
AGAGUUUGAUCCUGGCUCAGAACGAACGCUGGCGGCAGGCUUAACACAUGCAAGUCGAGCGAAGGCUUCGGCUUAGCGGCGGACGGGUGAGUAACGCGUGGGAACGUGCCCUUUCCUCCGGAAUAGCCCAGGGAAACUUGGAUUAAUGCCGGAUACGCCCGAGAGGGGAAAGAUUUAUCGGGGAAGGAUCGGCCCGCGUUGGAUUAGGUAGUUGGUGGGGUAAUGGCCUACCAAGCCGACGAUCCAUAGCUGGUUUGAGAGGAUGAUCAGCCACACUGGGACUGAGACACGGCCCAGACUCCUACGGGAGGCAGCAGUGGGGAAUCUUGGACAAUGGGGGAAACCCUGAUCCAGCCAUGCCGCGUGAACGAUGAAGGCCCUAGGGUUGUAAAGUUCUUUCAGCGAGGAAGAUAAUGACGGUACUCGCAGAAGAAGCCCCGGCUAACUCCGUGCCAGCAGCCGCGGUAAUACGGAGGGGGCUAGCGUUGUUCGGAAUUACUGGGCGUAAAGCGCACGUAGGCGGAUUGGAAAGUUGGGGGUGAAAUCCCGGGGCUCAACCCCGGAACUGCCUUCAAAACUUCCAGUCUGGAGUCCGAGAGAGGUGAGUGGAAUUCCGAGUGUAGAGGUGAAAUUCGUAGAUAUUCGGAGGAACACCAGUGGCGAAGGCGGCUCACUGGCUCGGUACUGACGCUGAGGUGCG